GGUAAACGCUGGCGGCGUGCCUAAUACAUGCAAGUCGAGCGAAUGGAUUAAGAGCUUGCUCUUAUGAAGUUAGCGGCGGACGGGUGAGUAACACGUGGGUAACCUGCCAUAAGACUGGGAUAACUCCGGGAAACCGGGGCUAAUACCGGAUAACAUUUUGAACCGCAUGGUUCGAAAUUGAAAGGCGGCUUCGGCUGUCACUUAUGGAUGGACCCGCGUCGCAUUAGCUAGUUGGUGAGGUAACGGCUCACCAAGGCAACGAUGCGUAGCCGACCUGAGAGGGUGAUCGGCCACACUGGGACUGAGACACGGCCCAGACUCCUACGGGAGGCAGCAGUAGGGAAUCUUCCGCAAUGGACGAAAGUCUGACGGGGCAACGCCGCGUGAGUGAUGAAGGCUUUCGGGUCGUAAAACUCUGUUGUUAGGGAAGAACAAGUGCUAGUUGAAUAAGCUGGCACCUUGACGGUACCUAACCAGAAAGCCACGGCUAACUACGUGCCAGCCGCCGCGGUAA
rnacentral:rRNA from 1 species